rnacentral:lncRNA from 1 species
UUACAUCAUGAUACAAGCUUCAAAUGAAUUUUUGCCCAACAUGAAAGUUGAAGAUCUUGUUCUCCCAUUUUCAAAAAGUCCAAGAACUCUCAAAUCCCAUGUAUGGUUUGCAAGAUAUGAUCAAUUCAAUUUCAAAAAUUUGUGAACUUCAACAAGCCAUAUCUCAUGAACCACUUGGCCAAAUUUGAUGGGGUUUUUUCCUAC